CGGCGGACGGGUGAGUAACACGUGGAUAACCUACCUAUAAGACUGGGAUAACUUCGGGAAACCGGAGCUAAUACCGGAUAAUAUAUUAAACCGCAUGGUUCAAUAGUGAAAGACGGUUUUGCUGUCACUUAUAGAUGGAUCCGCGCCGCAUUAGCUAGUUGGUAAGGUAACGGCUUACCAAGGCAACGAUGCGUAGCCGACCUGAGAGGGUGAUCGGCCACACUGGAACUGAGACACGGUCCAG
rnacentral:rRNA from 1 species